rnacentral:sRNA from 1 species
AGCAGCCGCGGUAAUUCCAGCUCCAAUAGCGUAUAUUAAAGUUGUUGCAGUUAAAAAGCUCGUAGUUGAACUUCGGGGUUUACCCAUUGGUCAGGCUUAAUUGUCUGUACUGGUGAGAUAAAUCUCUACCUUCUGAGGAACUUUCAUGUCAUUAAUUUGGUGUGAUUGGAAAUCAGGACUGUUACUUUGAAAAAUUAGAGUGUUUAAAGCAGGCUAACGUCUGAAUACAUUAGCAUGGAAUAAUGAAAUAGGACGGAUUGAUUCUAUUUCGUUGGUUUCUAGGAUCACCGUAAUGAUUAAUAGGGAUAGUUGGGGGCAUUAGUAUUCAAUUGUCAGAGGUGAAAUUCUUGGAUUUAUUGAAGACUAACUACUGCGAAAGCAUUUGCCAAGGAUGUUUUCAUUAAUCAAGAACGAAAGUUAGGGGAUCGAAGACGAUCAGAUACCGUCGUAGUCUUAACCAUAAACUAUGCCGACUAGGGAUCGGACGAAGUUAAUUUUA